UCCCUGGUGGUCCAAUGGUUAGGACUCUGAGCCUUGACUGCUGAGGGCGCAGGUUCAAUCCCUGGUCAGGGAA